rnacentral:rRNA from 1 species
CCUACGGGAGGCAGCAGUGGGGGAUAUUGCACAAUGGGGGAAACCCUGAUGCAGCGACGCCGCGUGAGUGAAGAAGUAUUUCGGUAUGUAAAGCUCUAUCAGCAGGGAAGAAAAUGACAGUACCUGACCAAGAAGCCCCGGCUAACUACGUGCCAGCAGCCGCGGUAAUACGUAGGGGGCAAGCGUUAUCCGGAUUUACUGGGUGUAAAGGGAGCGUAGACGGUUAUGUAAGUCUGGAGUGAAAGCCCGGGGCUCAACCCCGGGACUGCUUUGGAAACUGUGUAACUGGAGUACAGGAGGGGCAGGCGGAAUUCCUGGUGUAGCGGUGAAAGGCGUAGAGAUCAGGAGGAACACCGGCGGCGAAGGCGGCCUGCUGGAAUGAAACUGACGUUGAGGCUCGAAAGCGUGGGGAGCAAACAGGAUUAGAUACCCCGGUAGUC